AGGAUCGGCUAACUCCGUGCCAGCAGCCGCGGUAAUACGGAGGAUCCAAGCGUUAUCCGGAAUCAUUGGGUUUAAAGGGUCCGUAGGUGGAUAAUUAAGUCAGAGGUGAAAGUUUGCAGCUCAACUGUAAAAUUGCCUUUGAUACUGGUUAUCUUGAGUUAUUAUGAAGUAGUUAGAAUAUGUAGUGUAGCGGUGAAAUGCAUAGAUAUUACAUAGAAUACCAAUUGCGAAGGCAGAUUACUAAUAAUCAACUGACACUGAUGGACGAAAGCGUGGGGAGCGAACAGGAUUAGAUACCCUGGUAGUCCACGCCGUAAACGAUGGUUACUAGCUGAUCGGACUUCGGUCUGAGUGGCUAAGCGAAAGUGAUAAGUAACCCACCUGGGGAGUACGUUCGCAAGAAUGAAACUCAAAGGAAUUGACGGGGGCCCGCACAAGCGGUGGAGCAUGUGGUUUAAUUCGAUGAUACGCGAGGAACCUUACCAGGGCUUAAAUGUAGUGUGACAGGACUAGAGAUAGUUUUUUCUUCGGACACAUUACAAGGUGCUGCAUGGUUGUCGUCAGCUCGUGCCGUGAGGUGUCAGGUUAAGUCCUAUAACGAGCGCAACCCCUGUUGUUAGUUGCCAGCGAGUCAUGUCGGGAACUCUAACAAGACUGCCAGUGCAAACUGUGAGGAAGGUGGGGAUGACGUCAAAUCAUCACGGCCCUUACGUCCUGGGCUACACACGUGCUACAAUGGUAUAGACAGAGAGCAGCCACUGGGCGACCAGGAGCGAAUCUAUAAACUAUAUCACAGUUCGGAUCGGAGUCUGCAACUCGACUCCGUGAAGCUGGAAUCACUAGUAAUCGCAUAUCAGCCAUGAUGCGGUGAAUACGUUCCCGGGCCUUGUACACACCGCCCGUCAAGCCAUGGAAGCUGGGAGUGCCUGAAGUCCGUCACCGUAAG
rnacentral:rRNA from 1 species